rnacentral:rRNA from 1 species
UGGGGAAUAUUGCACAAUGGGCGCAAGCCUGAUGCAGCCAUGCCGCGUGUGUGAAGAAGGCCUUCGGGUUGUAAAGCACUUUCAGCGGGGAGGAAGGCGAUAAGGUUAAUAACCUUGUCGAUUGACGUUACCCGCAGAAGAAGCACCGGCUAACUCCGUGCCAGCAGCCGCGGUAAUACGGAGGGUGCAAGCGUUAAUCGGAAUUACUGGGCGUAAAGCGCACGCAGGCGGUCUGUCAAGUCGGAUGUGAAAUCCCCGGGCUCAACCUGGGAACUGCAUCUGAUACUGGCAAGCUUGAGUCUCGUAGAGGGGGGUAGAAUUCCAGGUGUAGCGGUGAAAUGCGUAGAGAUCUGGAGGAAUACCGGUGGCGAAGGCGGCCCCCUGGACAAAGACUGACGCUCAGGUGCGAAAGCGUGGGGAGCAAACAGG